GGGCCCAUAGCUCAAUCGGUCAGAGCGGCCGGCUCAUAACCGGUUGGUCCCUGGUUCGAACCCAGGUGGGCCCA
rnacentral:tRNA from 1 species